CGACACAAGCCUAAAGCAUCGACCAUUUUGUUUCUUUUCAAGUACAGGGUGAAAAACUCCCCCUUUGUACUUAAAUGCCUCCAUGGCAAAAGGAUCCAAGACAUAAUACCAAAAAGAUAUUUCAGCCACAUUUAAAAAAAAAAAAAUGGCAGUAUCUAAUUCAAAUUGCAUUAUGUUACCAAACAAGUAUUAUAAAAAUAUCUAUGAAGUUUGUAUUAACUCCAUUUACACGAAACAUUUUUGUCAUUAGCUAUGGCCCUUCGAAUACACUACCCUUUGGUCCACAAAUUGCAGCAGUCAUUAGAAAAAUGCAACCAUUAGUCGGGCAUUUUUAGACAUCAAAGCCAUUGAGAUCCUCCUUUCAGGCAUUGGGUUUGCUUGCGCUUUUGUACAUCUUGUCAAUAACAUCCUGUACACAGAAUUUUGAGGUCAGAACUGUAUUCUGCAAAUACUAUUGCAUAUAGACCUCAAAAAGAAAAUUUAGAGAGAAAAACAAUUGUAAAACCUUAUGAACAAGUGCUUCAAUUUGAAUAACCAAUUUGUGGACAAAAUUAAACACGACAGCUUACACCACUAGCUGAUAAAACCAUCCAUGUCUAUAAGUUGAUACAAAACUUACAAAUGUGGAAAGAAUUCUACCUCUGAGCACCAAAAUAAAUUAUGCCAAUUAGCCUAUAACCAUGUAUCAGCAUGCAUAACUUUGGAUGCAUUUCCAUUCCAGAAGUAGUAAAUUAAUUCAUGUGGAAGUUAACACCAUAUAUGUUAGGCAAAAAGAAAAGAAAAGUUUCAUUUAACGUUUCUGCAAAAACUAAAUGGAGCUACCUGAUAGUAUUUAAGCAACUGGGGCCUCUUUUUCUUAUAUGUUGGCGUGAGGAGGUCGCGUUCUAUGUCAAAAGGCUCAGGAUCGAGGUGAACAGCUUUUACAAAUUCAAAACCUCGGAGCUGAGCUUCUCUUCCAACAACAUCCAUGUCUGCAAGAACAGCAGCCCUCGCUCUUGGAUUAUUGCAUAGCUGCUCCAAAUUUUCAUACUUAAUGCCUUCAGAAGCAGCCCAUGCUUUCAAAAUAUCUGGGUCCACUGAAACAAUAGCUACCAGAGAGGAGUUCAGGCUGUCCCCAUACACAAAGCACUGGGCAAUAAAUUCGGACUUAAUGUAAACAUUCUCAAUUUUCUCCGGAGCUAUGUACUCUCCCUGCGCCAGCUUAAAAAUGUUCUUCUUUCUAUCGAUAAUCUUCAGACGACCCCCAGGUAACCAUAGUCCUAUAUCUCCAGUAUGUAGCCAUCCAUCUUCAUCAAUUACUUCUCUCGUCUGUGCUUCAUCUUUAUGAUAGCCUUGGAAAACAAUGGGACCCCUUACACAGAUUUCCCCACGAGGAUAGGGCAAAUCUUCAGAUGUGUAGUUCAUUUCUGGAACAUCCACAAGCUUUAUUUCGCAGGCUGGAUUAGGAGAGCCAACAUGGCCAGUUAGGUUGUCACCCUCAUCCAUGGCGCUUAUAACACAAGAAGUCUCAGUCAUUCCAUAUCCUUCAGUUACACGGCCACCAAAGCAGAUCUUCAAGAACUCCAUGACAUCAGGAGACAAGGGUGAAGCACCUGAUGCCAUGAAACGAACUCGACCACCUAGUCUUUCCCUUAUCUUAUUGAACACCAAUCUGUCCCACAUUGGAGAUGGACUCUUGCCUGCAACAGUAAAUAUAGCACAACUGAUAAACAUCUAAGCAACAAAUAUAGAGAUGGACUCUUGCCUGUAACAGUAAAUAUAGCACAACCGAUAAACAUCAAAGCAACAAACAGAACCUUACUUUUGACUUAUCAUAAUUUAAUUCUAAAAAUUAUAACAUUUUAGGUAUACCCCUUAUUGCUGCAUUUGAAGUUAAUCAUUACACAACAUGCUGAAACUUUGAGUUAUUGCUCAUGUCAGAGACGUUUGCUCAUUUUAAUGCCUCUAAAUCAGUUGAUAAAAGCCUCUUGCUGGAGGUUGCCCUUCAUUGUUAGUGGUAAAUGUAUAAAUUAUACUUUUGAACCUUCACCUACAAGUUCAAACUUUUAGUUUGAGAGAUUCUUUAUUAUUAUCGAGUUCUCCUCAACCAAGUGAUGUGUUAUUCAAAUCUUGUUCAUUCCCCCUUUUGCUAAUCACAAGGUAACCUUAACACAUUCAAGCACAAACAGACCGAGUACUAGAGAUAUACAACCAAAAUAUGAACCCUCACCUACAAAUUUGAAUUUUUAGCCCGGCCAACAUAAGAUGCACACAUACAUGCACAUUAGAUUCUUCCUUACACAGUCAGCUGAAUCAUUUCAGGCACAAAUAAAAUUUGAUCUUCUUGAGCACGGAUUCAUCUAAUGCUCUAUUCUCAACCUUCAAAAUCCACUUUCAUACAAUGAAAAAAAUAUGACCUUGCCUUGCGAGAUCAAGGCUAAAUUCAUAAACUGCAAUGCCUAUCCUCAUAAGAGGUCUAUAUAAUAUUUAUACCCCACAAAUUUUGCUGUCUCCUACCGGAAUCUGUAAUUAGUAUAGUGAUAAAUGAAAGUUAACAAUCUACUGAAUCUAGGUACAAAAAUUCUUGAAUAUAACAGGAAAAGAUUAAAGCAAUAGAGGUCAUAUGAAAUAAUAUUCUCCACCAUUCAGAAUUGCUUGCUUCUUCGCAUUGUAGGCUGCAUUGAAUAACCUUUCCCUUAAUGCCCCAGAUGUCUUUACAGCAUUAGUAAUACCAGCAUAUAUUCUAUUAUACAGUCGAGGAACACUGCAAAAGAUUGUGGGUCUUAGAGCAGCCAUAUCGUCUAUUAGUUUCAUAUUAUCCUGCACACAUAGGUUACCACAUAAUAUUUAUUGUUCUAUAGAAAUCAAACUUUACAAUCUAAUAUCACAAGCAACAAUAUUGCAGAAAACUAAGUUUGCUGCUCCAUAGAUAUGUUAAUAAUGCACAGACUACUUAACUUGUAUCAGAAUGACUAUGUGAAAACAUGAUCUGCUUUAUCAAGACGGCCAUUAUGCAAAGCAUAAUACAAUAGUACAAAUUCAAGAUCUAAUGAAGAGAAAUGUUUAGUUAAAUAUCAUACUCCCUGGUAGAAUCCAACAGCAACUCCAUAAUAUGCUGUCAUGACCUGGUUUGCCCGUUCAUAAAUGUGUGCCAAAGGAAGAUAUGAUAUGUAAACAUCUGAGGGGUAAAAUUUAGUAGUAAUACUGGCCCCAGCAACAUUUGCAAUCAAGUUUCCAUGGGUCAAUGCUGCUCCCUUUGGUGUCCCUGUUGUACCACUUGUAUAGCAAAUUGUAGCAACAUCCUCAGGUUUUGGCGGGCAAAAAGGCUGAGGAUUACUGCAGCCCUGGCUAAGAAGUUUUGAAUAUGUUAUAACCUGAACUCCAUUUGAUGAUAGAAGAGAUGGCAUUUGAUCAUCCAUCCCUCCAACAACCACAAUCAGACGUACAGUUGAAAUUUCAGACAAGAAGCUCAACAACUGCAAAAUUCAAGGGAUACAGUGAAAAAUAGUGCAGGAGGAUACUCACAAGAGAUAUAUUCAUUGACAAUCAAACACUUAAUUUCAAACAUCAAGUGAUUGCUAAUUCAAAAAGCACUCAUAAAGCAUGAAACCCAUUACCAUUUUCUCUAGAUUGGCUACUGCAUGUGCUACAUGAUCCAGAUUCUAAACCUCAUUGAAAGCACUGUCAUUUUUUAUUAUAUUAAAUCUAUGAUUGCAAAAACUGCUAAGCAACAGAAAUUGAAACUGUAAGAAAAGAGUACAUAUAUCACUAAAUUUCCAGUUUAUAUGCAACGAAGUUUAGCACCCUCAGGGCUUCACAUAAGAUUGUAUCUUCAAGACCACCAAAGAAGGGCAUAAAUUUAACUCACAGGGGUCAAAGUUUGGGGCAUACAAAAUAUAGCCCGUACAUCAGCAUGAUUUACAAUAUACUUGACAGCAUCUGGACCCAGAGUGUCAUAUAAAGGAACUGAUAUAUAGGAAUAUGCAGAGCAGGCAUGAUCAACAAUGAUCCAUUCUGGUCUGUUGAUAAAAUAUAAUCCGAUACAAGAUCCAUUUGGCAUUCCAUGAUACACUAUGCCAGAACCUAUUGCUGUCCGUGCAGUACCUGCUUCUCCAUAUGUCAUCCAUUUAUACUCUCCAAUGGUUCCAUCAACCCGAAUUCGUGUGCCCAGGUAAUUGUAAUCUCGGAAAGCAUCAACAGAUCGCACAAAAUUAUCAUGCAUUGUACCAAUAUCAGGAUGAUCGGGAAAUCUGCUCACAAGCUUCAAAGGAGAACGGAUAGACCUGUAUACGUUCCAUUUUCCUGUCUGUAACUUCUCCGGAAGCACAACACUGUAACCUUGCUAUUUUUAAGGUUAGCCGUCCAAUCAAUUAAAUCAGAAGAAGGGCACAAAAAGUGUAAUUCAUACGAGAAGCACAUAAACCACCGCCUAAAAGGAUGGAUCUUUUUC
rnacentral:misc_RNA from 1 species